rnacentral:lncRNA from 1 species
CUGACUUUGGGGAAACCUGGCCAGAAAGGUGUGGUGCUAAGGAUCAAAAAGAAACACGUGGAACAAGAGAUCGCAAAAUGUAUCGUCAAUUCCAACAUGGGAGAACGGUUAACAGAUUUGGUUGGUGAACUCAACCCACAACCACCUCCUGAAGCGAGAAACUCUUUCUUUCUGCCAACACCCAGGUUAACAGUUGCUAUCCCUUAUCCUCCAGCUGUUGAAAUAAAACCAAGAUUCAAC